AAAGUCCCCUUCGGGGGGCGAGUAGAGUGGCGCACGGGCGAGGAACACGCUAGGUAAUCCACCAUUGGAUUGGGAACACUACCGGAAACGGUGGCUAAUACCGAAUAAUGCAGCGGCACCUAAUGGUGACAGUUGUUAAAGCGGGGGAUCGCAAGACCUCGCGUCUGAAGAGGAGCCUGCGGCAGAUUAGCUAGUUGGUAAGGUAACGGCAUACCAAGGCGAUGAUCUGUAGCCGGCCUGAGAGGGCGGUCGGCCACACUGACACUGACAUACGGGACAGACUCCUACGGGAGGCAGCAGUCGGGAAUUUUGGGCAAUGGGCGCAAGCCUGACCCAGCAACGCCGCGUGAAGGAUGAAAUCCCUCGGGAUGUAACUUCGCAAGAACGGGAAGAAUAAGUAAGAGCUAACAUCUCUUACGAUGACGGCACUGUUGGUAAGCUCCGGCUAACUCCGNGCCAGCAGCCGCGGUAAUACGGGGGGAGCAAGCGUUGUUCGGAUUUACUGGGCGUAAAGGGCGCGUAGGCGGCCACCGCAAGUCGACUGUGAAAUCUCCGGGCUUAACCCGGAAAGGUCAGCCGAUACUGCGGGGCUAGAGUGCAGAAGGGGCAACUGGAAUUCUCGGUGUAGCGGUGAAAUGCGUAGAUAUCGAGAGGAACACCUGCGGCGAAGGCGGGUUGCUGGGCUGACACUGACGCUGAUGCGCGAAAGCNAGGGGAGCGAACGGGAUUAGAUACCCCGGUAGUCCUAGCCAUAAACGAUGAAUGCUUGGUGUCUGGGG
rnacentral:rRNA from 1 species